CCUACGGGCGGCAGCAGUGGGGAAUAUUGCACAAUGGGCGAAAGCCUGAUGCAGCAACGCCGCGUGAGCGAUGAAGGCCUUCGGGUCGGAAAGCUCUGUCCUCAAGGAAGAUAAUGACGGUACUUGAGGAGGAAGCCCCGGCUAACUACGUUCCAGCAGCCGCGGUAAUACGUAGGGGGCUAGCGUUAUCCGGAAUUACUGGGCGUAAGGGGUGCGUAGGUGGUUUCUUAAGUCAGAGGUGAAAGGCUACGGCUCAACCGUAGUAAGCCUUUGAAACUGGGGAACUUGAGUGCAGGAGAGGAGAGUGGAAUUCCUAGUGUAGCGGUGAAAUGCGUAGAUAUUAGGAGGAACACCAGUUGCGAAGGCGGCUCUCUGGACUGUAACUGACACUGAGGCACGAAAGCGUGGGGAGCAAACAGGAUUAGAUACCCUGGUAGUC
rnacentral:rRNA from 1 species